GAAUGUCAGGGCCAAUAAGCAGGAGUGGGUGUGUUGGUGAGUAUGGGGAAGUGGAAGGGUGUUUUGGGAGGGGAAACCAGGAAAGGGGAUAACAUUUGAAAUGUAAAUAAAGAAAAUAUCUAAUUUACAAAAAAAGCAGAAAAUACUACAGUAGAGGACAUCUGGGGCAAUGGGAAGUAGAGCCCCACUCACUUUCUAUGAAUGUGGAGGUAUGCUGGUCACUUUUUAGUGCCCACUCGACACUAGAGAAAGUGAACUGGGAAGAGUCUCAACUGUGCUAUUCUCUCAUUCAGACUGGGCUAUGGGCAUGUCUGUGUGCCCCAUCUUAAAUGCUAAUAGAUAAUGGAGAGCCCAGCCUCAAGUAGGCAAUGCUACCACUAGGCAGUGGCCUCCACUUAAAGAAAGGCUAGUCACAAGUCAGAGAGAGCAAGACAACUUUCUCCCAUGGGUCUUACUGCUUUGAGUUCUGUCCUGGCUUCCCUAAUAAUGAAGUGUGACCCAGAUCUGUGAGAGGAAAUAAAUCCUUUUCACCUCAAGAUGCUUUUGGUCAUGAUAAAAAAACUAAUGAGCAUCUGCAUAUAUGUACAAAGUAUCUUAAGCAUUUUUUUUCUUUUUUGCCUUUUCAUGGCUUAUUUACAUAAACAUUGUACUAAAAUCUUAUGGGAAAAGAUAAUGUAAAAAUCCCCCUCUCCCAAAUCAAUAACUUAGAAAGAUAACUAACAUUAAAACAAGUAGGCAACAUAAAAAUAUACCAUAUUUUAAUCACUUGAUAAAAAACAUGAGGUCACCUAGAAUUUUAGAUGAUCUCUGUUAAAAUAAAGCAUAUAAGUAUUAAUCAUCGAUAUAUGUAUAAUUCAUUUGUACUUACAAUAAAAAGUCGAGAUUUUUAAAUAAUGUUUUAAAGCAAUGAUAUUCCCACCUAUUAAUAUGUAUAACAUACAUGCUGUUAUCACCUGGCAUCUAUGGCAGGUUGUCCUAGAAUCCCACAGGAGUACUAAUAUUCAGGGAUGCUCAAGUCCCUCAUAUAAAAUGAUGCAGUAUUAGCAUAUAACUUGCACACAUCUCUGGGUAAGUACCAGCAGAUUUAUAGUAUUUAGUAUACAGAGAUAUAAAUGCUAUAUAGAUAUUGUCAUACUAGAUUUCUUACAUAAUAACAACACAAAAUUUGAACAUGUUCAACAUAAGGGCACAUGUUAUUAAAGGAAAAAAAAUCUAUCAAGAGGAUAUUACAAUUCUAGACAUUUACUCACAAGCCGAAAGGACAUCCAAUAUCACUGAACUUAACAGAGUGAUAAUGGGAAACUACAAUACCCGACCCUUGCCAAUUGACAGAGCAUCCAGACAAAAAUUAAGUACACUCUGGAGUUAAAUAAUAACAUAAAUCAAAUGGACCUAAAAGAUAUCUACAAAACAUUCUAACAAACACUGGAGAAGGGUUUUUGUUGUUAUUGUUUUAGCUUGUAUCUUUUUCUCAGAAGACUACAGAACUUUCUACAAAAUUCCAUAGUAGGAUACAAAGCAAGUUUCAACAAAAACUAGAAAACAACUAACAUCCUAUAUCCUACUUGACUUCCAUGGCUUAGAGCUCACUAUCCAUACAGCAGAAACAGUACAAAGAGCAGAACGCACACAAAACUGACUCUGAACAAUGUACCAUUGCAUGAAAAAAAAAAAAAGUACGUUAAGGCAGAAAUAAAAAAGGAAGUUAAAAGCCUUUUAAAAAUUGAAUGAAAAUGAAAACAUAACACAUUAAACUAUGUAGGGCAUAAUUAAAGCAAUUAUAAGAGAAAAAUAUGAAACAUUUAAAAAAUUAUUUGUCACACUCAAAUAUAUACCUUAAAGUUUAUUAGGAUACAUGCUCCACUAUGUUCAAAGCAGCCUUACUUAUAAAAGCCAGAAGCUAGAAAGAACCAAGAUGUCCCUCAACAGAGGAAUGGAUACAGAAAAUGUGGUACAUUCACACAAUGGAGUACUACUCAGUUAUUAAAAUCAAUGAAUUUAUGAAAUUCCUAGUCAAAUGGAUGGAUCUGGAGGGCAUCAUCCUGAGUGAGGUAUCCCAAUCACAAAGGAACUCGCACAGUAUGUACUCACUGAUAAGUGGAUAUUAGCCCAGAAACUUAGAAUACCCAAGAUACAAUUUGCAAAACACAUAAAACUCAAGAAGAACGAAGACAAAAAUAUGGACACUUUGCCCCUUAUUAGAAUUGGGAACAAAACACCCAUGGAAGGAGUUACAGAGACAAAGUUUGGAGCUGAGACUAAAGGAUGUACCAUCUAAAGACUGCUGCACCCGGGGAUCCAUCCCAUAAUCAGCCUCCAAACGCAGACACCAUUGCAUACACCAGCAAGAUUUUGCUGAAAGGACCCUGAUAUAGCUGUCUCUUGUGAGGCUAUGCUGGUGCCUGGCAAACACAGAAGUGGAUGCUCACAGUCAGCUAUUGGAUGGAACACAGGGCCCCCAAUGGAGGAGCUAGAGAAAGUACCCAAGGAGCUAAAGGGAUCUGCAACCCUAUAGGUGGAACAACAAUAUGAACUAACCAGUACUCCCAGAGCUCAUAUCUCUAGCUGCAUAUGUAGCAGAAGAUGGCCUAGUCGGCCAUCAUUGGAAAGAGAGGCCCAUUGGUCUUGCAAACUUUAUUUGCCCCAGUAUAGGGGAACGCCAGGGUCAAGAAGUGGGAGGGACGGGUAGGGGAGUUGGUGGGAGGGUUUGGGGGACUUUCGGGAUAGCAUUUGAAAUGUAAAUGAAGAAAAUACCGAAUAAAAAAUUGGAAAAUAAGAUUUAUUUACAGAUGUAGUUUUGAAUUUCUUCAAGUCUUGAAGUUAAAAUUUGUUAUAACAAGAACUCUACAAGUCAAAAGCUGAACAUGUGAAGUCUAAUUCUUCCAAGCUUAAUUUAUCAUGAGACUAUGAAGACCCGUUUCAUAGCACAAGAAGUAACAGGAGACAAGGGACAGGACUUCCUGCUGAUUGAUCUUUCUCUGUGGAGAAUGGCCAUUUUCCUUUCCUUGACUGCCCCACUGGGGCUUCCCUGUUUUAGGGUGAGCAUCCACAUAUGUUUAGAUAAACUAAUUAAUCUGAACAUGGGGAGAGGGAGCUUACAGAAAGUACACAGAAAAAGGAUCCAUUGUUAACUAUGUAUUAAAUAGAUUGUGUAAACUUCAUUUGAAAAACACCUAGGAAGAUGUGACUUACUAGACACAACCCAAAAAUAUAUUGUCUGAUUUUUAAAAAUAAAUUUACUAUCAUCAUCAUCAAUGUAUUCGUGAUACCAUCAGUGUUCAUUGGCAUGCUGUGCCAUGGAGUAUUUGUGGAAGCGGUGUCAAAGGACUAACUGAGGUGCUUAUUGACAUAUCAAAGCAGAUUCUGGUCACCAUGUUCUCCCUGUGUCCCUCUAUCUCACCAGUUACAGGGUCCUCCUGUACCCUGUGCUCUCAUCUGAACUCUCCAGCAUAGUGGCUAGACUGACUGCCAUUCCCCAGAAUGCUCGUCCCUAUAGAAUCCAGCCAUUUCAUCUAUACCACUAUUUUGGCUUUGUGGGCCUCUUGCCCUCUUGGCUGAUGCUCCUGGAGUACCCCCUCCCCACUCACAUGGCCCAGCUCAGAUGUGUUCACUCUGGAUCCUUCCAAACAUCUCUGGCUACGCUCACCCUCAUACCUAUUGUGCUCUCCCUUUUGUCUACAAUAAACCUUCUCCUCCAUCAUACUUAGCCACAUUCAUGCCUCUUUUCUUUUCUUUUUUCUUUUCUCCUUCCUUUCCUUCCCUUUCCUUUUUUUCUCUUUCUUUUUCUUUUAUUCAGAAGUCAGAUAGCAGUUUUAGGGCAUUGGUUCUCUCAUUUCACCAUGGUUAUGGGAAUAAGCACUGUCUAUCAUGCUUGUGGUCAAGCACUGUUACCCACAGAUCCACCUAGCUAACCCUAGUUAUUUAACUUUUUAGUGCUAUAAACAAUAAGCUGGCCCCUAGCCUGAGAACAGAUAUAAGAGAGGACGGACAAACAGACCCACAGACGUGCUGGAACUGCCUGCAAGGACUGUGUCUCCUUCCCCGCUAAUACUGCAGCGGAAGCUUACCAGCUUCAGGGACCAUUUCCAAAGAGCAUUGCACAAUCAUUCAGUCUUUAGAGCCACACAUAAUUGUGCGUGAUUGUAUUAGUUAAACACCUCAGGCCAUGUGUCUCUUCAUUCUGCCUCAGAGGCUUCAAAUUUAAACGUGAUAUCUGCAAUGCUGUAGAUAACCCUAACCUCCUGGGGACUAGAAGCAUGUUGCUAAGGCUUCAGUAACCACCCAAUUCUAAAAGACAGUUGCAGGGUGCCUAAGCACUGAAUCACGUGUGACAGAACUGCACAACCGUUCUCUAAAGGCCCAGAGGAAAGCGCACGCCCCAUCCCUGGUUUUCUCAUCUUUCUCAUCUUAUUACACAGUCUAAUAUCCUUACAAUACUGAAUAUAUAUGAAUGAGGACAUUUAUCAGAGUUCUGCAUGUUAGCCUCACCAUGGCCUCAGAACCUCAUCUUGGCUUUAUUACAUCUAGAAAAAAAUUUUUUUCUUUUGUACCAUCUGACUAAACUGUAGCAAAUUGGAGAAAAAAAGUUUUUCAAAAAUUAAAUGUUCAAAGGCCGAAUCACUUGAAAGGAAAAGGAUUUUCCUCAGUUGUGGCUCCUUUGUGAGUGCUGCUUUUUAAAGCCCUGAGUCACACCCUGACCACACCAGUCACCAAAUCCUUUUAGUUAAAUAUAUGAAGUAUUUAGAAAAGAACAAAGUCAUACAAACCACAAAAUAAUUCAUGCUGAGCACGUCAUACAUAGAUCCAAGGAGUCAUUAUUUUAACUUAUGUAUUUUCAACUUUUAAUGAGAACUGGAAUGAUUUAUUAAGCAGGCAUUUGCUUAAUCAGUGCUUUAACUCAGAAAGCACUUAAAUACUGAUAACAUGAUUUUUUUCAUGAGGUCCCUCAAUUUAUCUCUUGACACACAAAGCAAAGAGCAGUGCAUGUGCAUCUGCUGAAUUUUACUGAUAGAAACUUAAAGAAAUCCUGUGGGUAACACCACUCACUUUUUCUUAGAGUUCUUCUCAUGGAGACUUCCUAAAGAGAAAUCUGGAAAUAAUUAGAAACUAUUAAAGUACGUAAAAAGUCUGCUUGGAAAAAGUCAAUGUGCUAUUCAUCAAAGCAUGUAGUAUAUGGAGGAUAACCUAGGAGGAUGUAAGUGUUGUAGGAGCUGCAGCCACAGCACAGCAAAUGUGGAUGCAUGCUCUGACACCAGCUUCCUGCAACCAGGAGCCUGGGCAGGACACCGACUGUGGGUUCCUUUGCCAAACAGAGCAAAGGAUAACCACCUUAUAUAAUUCCUUACACUUCAAAACGAUAAGAAUACAUGUUGGUAAAAAGAUGCUAGUAACUAAAUUAAUACAAACCAUAAGAGAAGAGUACAGAACUAAUUCUUAAAGUUUAAGAUAUUCAUGGAAAGAAAAGUAUCAAAAUAUAAUAAAAAUCGUUCUGUGGUUUUGGAACAAUAAACAAAUUACAACCGAAAAUGGCAAUAUCUUCUUGAAACUAAAAGUAUGUUUUUGAAGAAAUGCAAAAUUCCACUGGGGAUAGACUGGACGCCAUGCCCCUUAGAGUUUAUAGGGUGCCAUAUGAACUGAAUUACCCUUGACAAGUACCGUCAGACAUCUGUAAUGUGAUCUCAUGUGAAUUUACAACACAUUUUGGACACAUACUAUUGGCAAGAGUUAUUUUUUUCAGAUAGGGAGGGAAGAAAACCAAAUAUUCUUAAUAAUAUGUAGUAGUUAACAUGGAACUUCCAAUAAGAAAUGAAAAGUGUAAAAGUAAAAGCAUUUAAUGAGCUAAAACAAAGAGAAAUAUAAGGCAACCAAAAUAAAGUUCACUUCCUUUUUCUUUCAAUCCCUGUUGCAUAUUCUAAUCUCAGUUUUCAAUGUCUUGUCUAAGUUUAAAGAUAAAUUUUAUGCAAACAAACUACAAAAUGAUACUUGCAUUAAAAACUUAUUUUGGCAGGAAUUAAAUCACAGCAUGGAUGCUAUUUUAUGGCUCUAUCUCACUGUGAGGUAAAGUGCAUAUAAUAUAUAUAGACAGUGAGAAUGCAUACCCUGAACUACUUCUGUUAGUCUCUCACUGCUGCUCAUCAUCUGUGGUAGCUGACAGUAAAACAAAGCAAACGAGCUCUGUGGGCCAUGGUUUUAAAGAUUCAUCGUGAUUGCCUGCCUUGGCAGGAAGAAAGCCCGCAGACUGGUGCUAAUUCUAUGGGGAUCAGCUCCAAUGGAAGAAACGCAUUAAGACCUCCAGAAAAGAACAUGCUUCUUAGAGAGCUAGGCCCAGCUACUCUACAGCACUGUUAACUUUUUUCAUCAGAGGCCUGCCACUUCUGUGGUCAUCCGGCUAAGAGAUGAAAAUCAUGAAUUUCAUCAGUAGUGAAAAAAUGACAUUUUAAGAACCUUUUGAAAUGUGUCCAUCUUUCUUAGUGACCUCAAAACCAAAGUCUGAAAACAUGUGUGGAUCAACAAUGAUCUAUAAUGCUGGACUGAUAGGCUUAGCUUCACACUGAAAUAGUUAACUUACCCAACUGCAUUUGACAGAAUGGAAAGCACUCUCUGGCUUUCUUAAAAGUGCUUUGUAGAAAGUAACAAAACAGAUUAACAGAAAAUCAUAAGACAGUUGUUUUUAAUGUGCAGACCUUUCAAGUUACUUAUAUGAGGCUAUGUAACCUCAUAUAAAACAUUUAAAAUUUUCAGUAUUCAAACACUGAAUUAUUUUUAAAAUUCAAUUUGAAAAUCAACCUAUGAGGCCUGUCUCCUCGGCUGUCCUGCUGACACACAGGAAAGUGUACUACAGAGGCAGCUUACAUUUCCCACUCUUCCUUCCAAUCAAUAUCUGAGGCAAAGUUUCAUCUCUAGGGCCCCUAAUGGCAGGAAUUUCUGGAGCCAGCAAAUGGGUAAUGUUAAACCUACAAUUAGAAAAAGAGGCCAUCAAAGGCACCAGAUCCUAAUGCAACAUUACUCUUUAUUCUCUGAACUGCAGCGAUAGACAGGGCUAAGGGAAAGGGCAUUCGAAACCAAGCCUUGCCACAAAAGCUGCUAAAUAUCUGGAUUCUCCUCCACCUAAAAUAGCCACAGAGCCCCCAUCUCCCUUGAACUCGGGCCCUCGGCACUGGGUACAAUCUUCACGAGCUCUGUAGAGGAGCUCCUCCCAGGGCUGUGCUCCCUGUGUUUUCCUCUCGACUGUAUUCCUGCUUUCUCGUGAACAUACCCCUGAAGAAAGUAAACUGGAAAUCCGAAGAAAUAAGUGGUAAGAAAGACCGUGCAACUGGGAGUCCUGGCUGCACCACAGACUAAGCCACGUGAUGUUACCCACAUCAGCUCUACUCUUCUGAGGAAUGAUCAUCUGCCCACUGCGAAUUAGUCAGGAAGUCAAGCAGAUACGUAACUUACCACAUCUCGAAAGACAACAGCACGAAGGCGAUUGAUAUCAACAUCCUGAAGAAGCCUAUCGGGAUCCUUGAUGGGAGAAAGGUUACCUGGAACGUUUUCUAAAGGAGUCUUGAAAACAAAAGAGAAUUACUGAGCAACAGUAUAUUCUAGAAAAUUAUUUCGGAGCAUCACAGGCUGAGCUUCCCAAACCAUUCCCUGCCUCCUCAGAGGAGUAGGAAUCACUGACAUCAAAGCUAGCAAGGGGCUUAUUUUCUGUUCUUCUCUGCUUGUGAGGCUUUCUCUUCUCUAUGUUGAUUUGCUAUCAACAUAGAUGCCUCUGUGGUCUCAUAAAGGCAGACAGUAUUGUGGUGUUUCACUCCUAAAGGAGGUUGUGAAGCUCCUGUGGAACAUGGUACAGGAGAAAGCCAACAAAACGAAUGCAGAGGCCAUGCCCAGCAAAUGCUACAGCCCAGACUAAAACACUGAUGGAUCUCACACUGAGGUUCCCACCAUCUCCACUGAGUCCAAACUUCACUUCUGCGUCUCACUAGAAAUCAGUCUGAGCAGCACGCCAUCAACAGAGCGCAGCACUUGCGCAGUGCAGGUAAGCAGCUGAGACAAACAGCAGACAGAUGCGAGGCCUAGCGUAUUUACUACCUGGCUCCACACAGAAGGUUGCUAACUACUACCAUCUAAGUCUUCAUUACUCCCAGGUCUCUGGAUCACGAACACUGUCAGAGGAUCUAAUUCUCAGUAACAGCUUGGAUUUGCUUAGUGAAGACUCAAACAGACCCAAUCCUGAAUACAAGGAGGAAAACCUGUACAGAUGUUUGGUAAGAAGCAACUGUGUUCACCACUGAGCCAUUCUAUGGAAGUCUAACAGAAAUCUAAGUAUGAGCAUGGUAUGUUCUAAUUUUAGGACCAGAGGCAUUAACUUCCAAAAUUUAACUAUUAUGUUACACUGCACCAUUACUUCCAUAUAAGGGUUCACUGGCUAUAUUGACCUUUGAUUCUACUGUCAAUAAUAACUGAAAACAAGAAGAGGGACAGAAGUCCAUAUAAAGUAAAUGUGGAAAAAACCAGAUAAGCAUCAUAAGCCAAACAACAAAUAAGUUAGAAGAUGAAGACACAAACAAAAUGGAUUACUUUCAGAGCGCAGAUUUGACACUGAAGCAAGGGUCUGAUUAAAGAGAACUUUCAUGACACAGAUUGGAGGCAAUUUUGCUUUUUUUUCCUUCUAGGUACAUGUGACCUACCUAUUUCAUGAGCAUAUGUUAGUGGUAUUUCCAGUAACAAGUUAUUUAAUCUGAGUCUCAGUAUGUCUGUUUUUUUUUCUAACUAGAUAUUUUCUUUAUUUACAUUUCAAAUGUUAUCCCCUUCCCUAGUUU